UACGAGGGGGGCUAGCGUUGCUCGGAAUGACUGGGCGUAAAGGGCGCGUAGGCGGUUCAUACAGUCAGAUGUGAAAUUCCCGGGCUUAACCUGGGGGCUGCAUUUGAUACGUGUGGGCUUGAGUGAGGAAGAGGGUUGUGGAAUUCCCAGUGUAGAGGUGAAAUUCGUAGAUAUUGGGAAGAACACCGGUGGCGAAGGCGGCUCUCUGGACCACAACUGACGCUGAGGCGCGAAAGCGUGGGGAGCAAACAGG
rnacentral:rRNA from 1 species